rnacentral:rRNA from 1 species
GAUGAACGCUGGCGGCGUGCCUAACACAUGCAAGUCGAGCGAUUUACUUCGGUAAAGAGCGGCGGACGGGUGAGUAACGCGUGGGUAACCUGCCCUGUACACACGGAUAACAUACCGAAAGGUAUGCUAAUACGAGAUAAUAUGCUUUUAUCGCAUGGUAGAAGUAUCAAAGCUUUUGCGGUACAGGAUGGACCCGCGUCUGAUUAGCUAGUUGGUAAGGUAACGGCUUACCAAGGCGACGAUCAGUAGCCGACCUGAGAGGGUGAUCGGCCACAUUGGAACUGAGACACGGUCCAAACUCCGACGGGAGGCAGCAGUGGGGAAUAUUGCACAAUGGGCGAAAGCCUGAUGCAGCAACGCCGCGUGAGCGAUGAAGGCCUUCGGGUCGUAAAGCUCUGUCCUCAAGGAAGAUAAUGACGGUACUUGAGGAGGAAGCCCCGGCUAACUACGUGCCAGCAGCCGCAGUAAUAC